CAUGCUGCUUAGUGACAUCACGACAACCAGGAUUAAAUAACAUGCUGCUUACUGACAUCAUGACAAUCAGAAUUAAAUAACAUGCUGCUUAGUGACAUCAUGACAAUCAGGAAUAAAUAACAUGCUGCUUAGUGACAUCAUGACAAUCAGAAUUAAAUAACAUGCUGCUUAGUGACAUCAUGACAAUCAGAAUUAAAUAACAUGCUGCUUAGUGACAUCAUGACAAUCAGAAUUAAAUAACAUGCUGCUUAGUGACAUCAUGACAAUCAGAAUUAAAUAACAUGCUGCUUAGUGACAUCAUGACAAUCAGAAUUAAAUAACAUGCUGCUUAGUGACAUCAUGACAAUCAGGAAUAAAUAACAUGCUGCUUAGUGACAUCAUGACAACCGGGAUUAAAUAACAUGCUGCUUAGUGACAUCAUGACAACCAGGAUUAAAUAACAUGCUGCUUAGUGACAUCAUGACAACCGGGAUUAAAUAACAUGCUGCUUAGUGACAUCAUGACAACCGGGAUUAAAUAACAUGCUGUGUAAUGACUGCUCUUGCUGUUCAGCUGCACGAAACCUUUACAGUGCUGAAGAGGAAAUAGUAAGCGUAAUGUUCCUUCUGUGACAUCAAACUCUUUAAUUGAAAAGAAAAAGUAAGUCAAGUCCAGUUCUUCAUGAUCUCACUCUUUAAACAUUAAUAAAGCUGGUCUGAGAGACAGACGGGGGGAGAUUUACGACGGGGUGCAGGUGGCUCGUCAGCGCACGCAAUCAAUUAUAAAUGAUAUUAAAAAUCAGAUCUAUCUGCAUAUCGGCUGAGUUAAUGUUUUAUAGCUGAGUGGGGUGGAGGGCUGGGGGCAGAUCUCACCAAGACACCAAGAGCUGCCAGCAGUGUUGAUUGGAGAGCUGGCUGUGACAGUAAGGCUUGGAGGUGAAGACCCUCAGAGACGUCUCAAUGCUGUGUUCUGCCCUCUGGCUGUCCUGUGAUGAGACCAAACAGCCUUUCUUGUUCUCCAUCUCUUCUUCAGACGUGUAUCUGUUUACACGAUAACGACCAAACAUGCAGCAGAUUAACACCUUUUUUUUUUCUUGAAUUGUUUUGGCCUCCAAUAAAGUCCCAUUUCCUUGA